AUCCCUACUAUUCCUUUAGUCAAUACAAAUUGUGACCUGGAUCUCGUGAAUAUAUCAAUUCCAGCCAACGGUGACACUAUGGCUUCACUUCAAUUGAUUCUUAACAAAUUGGUAUUUUCAGUUGGUGAGGGCCAUUCUCUCUAUAUAUAG
rnacentral:rRNA from 1 species